rnacentral:rRNA from 1 species
CCUACGGGUGGCAGCAGUGAGGAAUAUUGGUCAAUGGACGAGAGUCUGAACCAGCCAAGUAGCGUGAAGGAUGACUGCCCUAUGGGUUGUAAACUUCUUUUAUAUGGGAAUAAAAUGUUCCACGUGUGGGAUUUUGUAUGUACCAUAUGAAUAAGGAUCGGCUAACUCCGUGCCAGCAGCCGCGGUAAUACGGAGGAUCCGAGCGUUAUCCGGAUUUAUUGGGUUUAAAGGGAGCGUAGGUGGAUUGUUAAGUCAGUUGUGAAAGUUUGCGGCUCAACCGUAAAAUUGCAGUUGAAACUGGCAGUCUUGAGUACAGUAGAGGUGGGGGGAAUUCGUGGUGUAGCGGUGAAAUGCUUAGAUAGCACGAAGAACUCCGAUUGCGAAGGCAGUUCACUGGACCGCAACUGACACUGAGGCUCGAAAGUGUGGGUAUCAAACAGGAUUAGAUACCCUUGUAGUC